ACUCUCGCACUGUCUCAUGAUUUAUCGCGUGUUUUCCGUCGCCUGUUUAAUGCUAAUGACUUCUUAACUCGUUAACACCUCUCUUGUUUCAAUGUUUAUGGAGACAAGGGUGGGUACAAUAGAAUGACGCGGCGCUUCCUAACCGUCCUAGUAGAGUGACUGUGGUUUAAGUCAGUGAAUUGACUGAUAGUGUCGGGGUCAACAGAAUGUCGAGUCAUGUUAUCAGUAUCCCAUACACGCAGGUCGAAAUUCACGCUUUCAACUUGAAACUCGAUAUCCCUCAGGCUGUUUGUGAGUGUUCAUGUUUUAGAUAACAUAAAUAUACCAACAUCUGUUGUUUAUCAUCUACGUGGGAGGUCUAUUUCACGUUGGGAACACUUAGGACUAGACACGCCUUACAUUUAAUCUUGUGAUUGAGUUCAGACUGGCAUUCACAAGUGUGCUUCGGAAUGAUACACAUCGCUUAUAUCAAACACCGUUGAUAUUCGCGAGUGGAACGCGUUGGGCCACUUUCUGUCUGAAAUACCCUUACCACGAAGACUAUUAUGACUCGUACGGUAGUCAUGUCAUGGAAUUUAUAAGAUUUCUCGUACGUGGAUCUACAAUCAUCAAAUACUUUCAAGCCAUGUGUUGCCAAUACGUCCUGUAUGACUCGUAGUGUCCAUGAGAUGAACUUUUCACGGAAGGUCAAACUUGGUCUACCGCCUUUGAAUCUUUGGCAAGAAGCGAGGACAUAUUUUCUUCGUCGGGGGGAAAACGAAAAUCGCUACGUUACACUGUAAACUCAUUCCGUGUGAUGAUUAUGUAUGUCAAAAGUUAUUCUGUGAAACGAUCAGAUGAGCGAUUCUGAUUAUAGUGAUGGAAUAAAAAAAAAAGUGUACAGACUGCUUGACUCAUUGAAAGGAAGUAAGAAAUGUAAAAAUAAACAACAUAUGUAUAUAUAGAAUGAAUUAUUUUUUAUUGAUCAAUGUUUACUAUUAUUGGCUUUUCUCGUUUCUGUGUUUUAAUCGAAUCGUUUAUGUACUCGUAUUUUUUGUGGCAUUAAAAAUAAAUUUAACCACGCCGCACAUUUACAUGUAUCUACGUAUUUUUCGAGGUGUUAACAAAGAAAUAUUUAAUCACGCUAAACAUUUAUACACUACGCAACUAUUUUCCUUACUCACAUCGUAUGUUUUUUUGUGACGUUAAAAAAAUACUCAACCAUGUCAUAAAUAUAUACUCCAUGUCAAUAUUUCAUUCUUGUUUACUUCUUUUGUGCAAUAAACUCCAUUAGUUUUCAAAA